CGACCAGAUGUCACUGGCUGUUGGGUGCUUUUGGCUUACUAUAUCAACUCUCACGUGUUGUUUCCGCGUGUGGAGAAUAGUGUCGCGAUAAUGACUCUCAGGAGAUUUGAGGGGCGCGCGCACACGCGGGGUAAUGUGUGGUUUAUCUCUAUGCCACGCAAAAACUUUUAUCUGCUUGUGAUGUGCGGAAAACCUUCCAGAUAUGGAAUGGUGCCUUCGAGAACCGUAACACAGGUGCUGCAUGGCUGUCGUCAGCUCGUGUCGUGAGAUGUUGGGUUAAGUCCCGCAACGAGCGCAACCCUUGUCCUUAGUUGCUACCAAAUAAUGGUGGGAACUCACUGGAGACCACCGGUGACAAAACGGUGGAGAGUGGGGAUGACCUCAUGGCUCUUGGCCCUUACGGUUCGGGCUACACACGUGCUACAGUGGUAAGGACUGAGGGCUGCAAACCGGCAACCAAUCUCCAAUCCCAGAAACCCUAUCUCAUUCCAGAUUGCAGUCUGACUGUCUACUCUCUGAAUCCCUAAUCAUCGCUAAUCACAAAUCCGCGUUGCUGCGGUGAAUACGUCCCGUGCACUUGUACACUCCCACCGUCACACCGUGUUAUUUUGUUGCUCCAUAACCUAGUCGCUUAGCCUUCGAGAGGGCGCUUGCCAC
rnacentral:rRNA from 1 species